UCAAUUACUGAAUUUAGCAUUGAUUGUGCUCGUUCCUUCUCUCUUCUUAUGCGUUGCCCUAGCUUUGCCUUACUUAUCUCUUCAGUUCCAUUUGAAAAUAUAGCUUCCAAUGACUUUGUUUGAGAAGUUGAAUCACUGCCAUGUAGGUAACAUUAUAAGCAUGUUUAUUUUAUGUUACAAAUAAUGAAAAUUGUUGUUCAUGUAAUUAAAUAAAAUAAAAAAAUUAUAUUAUCUAUGUGCAAUCCUUAUGCAUUGAUUUGAAAAAACUUACAUAGGUUCAAUUACUGAAUUUAGAAUUGAUUGCGCUCGUUCCCUUUCUCUUCUCAAACGUUGUCCUUGUUUUGCCUUACUUAUCUCUUCACUGUUUGUUGAAGAAGUUUUCACACUUUUGACAGGUAUUUUUUUCU
rnacentral:lncRNA from 1 species